rnacentral:misc_RNA from 1 species
CAAAAGUUAAACACUUGGGGAACGGACUCGCCUUCCGGGGCUCGAGGCCUGACUCCAUUUGUAACGAACUUUCAACCACUUGUGAAUUUGUAACAAAUUUUCUCACCAAUUGACUGUUAACGAAGUCUGAUUCAAAUUGUAUUGGUGUUUAUAGACACUAGUAAAAUAUGAAA